ensembl:piRNA 21ur-13572 ncRNA
UACUAUGAAAGUCGAAGAUCG